rnacentral:rRNA from 1 species
GACGAACGCUGGCGGCGUGCUUAACACAUGCAAGUCGAACGAAGAGCGAUGGAUGCUUUCUUCUGUCAAUCUUCGUGGCGAACGGGUGAGUAACGCGUAAUCAACCUGCCCUUCAGAGGGGUCCAACAGUUGGAAACGACUGCUAAUACCGCAUACGAUCCAAUCUCGGCCUCGGGACUGGAUGAAAGGUGGCCUCUAUUUAUAAUCUAUCACUGCAGGCGGGGAUUGCGUCUGAUUAGCUAGUUGGAGGGGUAACGGCCCACCAAGGGGAGGAUCAGUAGCCGGGCUGAGAGGAUGAACGGCCAAAUUGGGAAGGAGACACGGCCCAGAAUACGACGGGAGGGAGCAGGGGGGAAUCUUUCGAAAUGGAAGAAAGGCUGAAGGAGCAACGCCGGGGGAGUGAUGACGGCCGUCGGGUUGGAAAGGUCUGUUAAUCGGGACGAAUGGUAAUUGUGCGAAUAGUGCGAGGAUUUGACGGUACCGGAAUAGAAAGCCACGGCUAACUACGUG